UGGGGAAUAUUGGACAAUGGGGGCAACCCUGAUCCAGCAAUGCCGCGUGAGUGAUGAAGGCCUUCGGGUUGUAAAGCUCUUUCGCCCACGACGAUGGUGACGGUAGUGGGAGAAGAAGCCCCGGCUAACUUCGUGCCAGCAGCCGCGGUAAUACGAAGGGGGCUAGCGUUGUUCGGAGUUACUGGGCGUAAAGGGCGCGUAGGCGGCCGAUCAAGUCGGGUGUGAAAGCCCGGGGCUCAACCCCGGAUGUGCACUCGAGACUGAUUGGCUUGAGGACGGGAGAGGAUGGUGGAAUUCCCAGUGUAGAGGUGAAAUUCGUAGAUAUUGGGAAGAACACCGGUGGCGAAGGCGGCCAUCUGGACCGUUUCUGACGCUGAGGCGCGAAAGCGUGGGGAGCAAACAGGAUUAGAUACCCCCGUAGUCC
rnacentral:rRNA from 1 species